CAGUCGAACGGACUCAUAUUGAAACCUAGUGAUUUAUGAGUUAGUGGCGGACGGGUGAGUAACGCGUGGAUAACCUGCCGUAUACCGGGGGAUAACACUUAGAAAUAGGUGCUAAUACCGCAUAAGCGCACGGCUCCGCAUGGGGCAGUGUGAAAAACUCCGGUGGUAUACGAUGGAUCCGCGUCUGAUUAGCUAGUUGGCGGGGUAACGGCCCACCAAGGCAGCGAUCAGUAGCCGGCCUGAGAGGGUGGACGGCCACAUUGGGACUGAGACACGGCCCAAACUCCUACGGGAGGCAGCAGUGGGGAAUAUUGCACAAUGGGGGAAACCCUGAUGCAGCGACGCCGCGUGAGUGAAGAAGUAUCUCGGUACGUAAAGCUCUAUCAGCAGGGAAGAAAAUGACGGUACCUGACUAAGAAGCCCCGGCUAACUACGUGCCAGCAGCCGCGGUAAUACGUAGGGGGCAAGCGUUAUCCGGAUUUACUGGGUGUAAAGGGAGCGUAGACGGCAGCACAAGUCUGGAGUGAAAUCCCGGGGCUUAACCCCGGAACUGCUUUGGAAACUGUGCGGCUGGAGUGCAGGAGGGGUAAGCGGAAUUCCUAGUGUAGCGGUGAAAUGCGUAGAUAUUAGGAGGAACGCCGGUGGCGAAGGCGGCUUACUGGACUGUAACUGACGUUGAGGCUCGAAAGCGUGGGGAGCAAACAGGAUUAGAUACCCUGGUAGUCCACGCCGUAAACGAUGAUUACUAGGUGUCGGGGGAUCAAGGUCCUCCGGUGCCGGCGCAAACGCAUUAAGUAAU
rnacentral:rRNA from 1 species